rnacentral:rRNA from 1 species
AUACGGAGGGUGCAAGCGUUACUCGGAAUCACUGGGCGUGAAGCGCGCGCAGGCGGCUAUUUAAGUUGGAUGUGAAAGCCUAUGGCUCAACCAUAGAACUGCAUCCAAAACUAUUUAGCUAGAGUGUGUGAGAGGAAGAUGGAAUUAGUUGUGUAGGGGUAAAAUCCGUAGAGAUAACUAGGAAUACCAAAAGCGAAGGCGAUCUCCUGGAACAUAACUGACGCUAAGGCGUGAAAGCGUGGGGAGCAAACAGAAUUAGAUACCCUAGUAGUCC